CAGUAGCAGUGCCCUGGGAUG
rnacentral:miRNA from 1 species